rnacentral:tRNA from 1 species
AUUACUUUGGCAGAAUUAAGUGCGGUGGAUUUAGAAUCUAUAAAUAUGGUUGUAAUCAUAGGUAGUA